GAUGAACGCUGGCGGCGUGCUUAACACAUGCAAGUCGAACGAAGCACUCUAUUUGAUUUUCUUCGGAAAUGAAGAUUUUGUGACUGAGUGGCGGACGGGUGAGUAACGCGUGGGUAACCUGCCUCAUACAGGGGGAUAACAGUUGGAAACGACUGCUAAUACCGCAUAAGCGCACAGGAUCGCAUGAUCCGGUGUGAAAAACUCUGGUGGUAUGAGAUGGACCCGCGUCUGAUUAGCCAGUUGGCAGGGUAACGGCCUACCAAAGCGACGAUCAGUAGCCGACCUGAGAGGGUGACCGGCCACAUUGGGACUGAGACACGGCCCAAACUCCUACGGGAGGCAGCAGUGGGGAAUAUUGCACAAUGGGGGAAACCCUGAUGCAGCGACGCCGCGUGAGCGAAGAAGUAUUUCGGUAUGUAAAGCUCUAUCAGCAGGGAAGAAUUCAUGACGGUACCUGACUAAGAAGCACCGGCUAAAU
rnacentral:rRNA from 1 species